rnacentral:rRNA from 1 species
GGCGCAUGUUAGAGAGAUUAAAGGAGUGAUCCGCUUAGGGAUGAGCUUGCGGCCCAUUAGUUUGUUGGCGGGGUAACGGCCCACCAAGACUGCGAUGGGUAGCCGGCCUGAGAGGGUGAACGGCCACAUUGGGACUGAGAUACGGCCCAGACUCCUACGGGAGGCAGCAGUAGGGAAUUUUGCGCAAUGGACGAAAGUCUGACGCAGCAACGCCGCGUGAGGGAUGACGGCCUUCGGGUUGUAAACCUCUGUUGGAUGGGAAAAAACGGUAGCAAUACCUUGAUGGUACCAUUCGAGUAAGCACCGGCUAACUACGUGCCAGCAGCCGCGGUAAUACGUAGGGUGCGAGCGUUGUUCGGAAUCACUGGGCGUAAAGGGAGCGUAGGCGGGAUCGUAAGUUAGGAGUUUAAUGCAUGGGCUUAACCCAUGACCUGCUCUUAAUACUGCGGUUCUUGAGUAUGGGAGAGGGCGAUGGAAUUCCAGGUGUAGCGGUGGAAUGCGUAGAUAUCUGGAAGAACACCAGUAGCGAAGGCGGUCGCCUGGCCCAAUACUGACGCUGAGGCUCGAAAGCUAGGGGAGCGAACAGGAUUAGAUACCCUGGUAGUCCUAGCCGUAAACGAUGAACACUAGUUGCCGGAGGAGUCAAUCUUUUCGGUGACGAAGCUAACGCAUUAAGUGUUCCGCCUGGGAAGUGCGCCCGCAAGGGAGAAGCUCAAAGGAACUGACGGGGGCCCGCACAAGCGGUGGAGCAUGUGCUUUAAUUCGAUGCAACGCGAAGAACCUUACCUAGACUUGACAUGGGGGUGAAAUUCUGUAGAAAUAUGGAACCUUCCGCAAGGAACACCCUACACAGGUGCUGCAUGGUUGUCGUCAGCUCGUGUCGUGAGAUGUUGGGUUAAGUCCCGCAACGAGCGCAACCCUCGUCCUUAGUUGCUAACAGGUUAUGCUGAGAACUCUAAGGAGACUGCCUGGUUUAACCAGGAGGAAGGUGGGGAUGACGUCAAAUCCUCAUGGCCCUUACGUCUAGGGCUAGACACGUGCCACAAUGGCCGGUACAACGGGCUGCAAGUCGGUGACGACAAGCUAAUCCCUUAAAACCGGUCUCAGUUCGGAUUGAAGUCUGCAAUUCGACUUCAUGAAGCUGGAAUCGCUAGUAAUCGCGGAUCAGCAUGCCGCGGUGAAUACGUUCCCGGGCCUUGUACACACCGCCCGUCAAGCCAAGAAAGAUGGCAGU